rnacentral:snRNA from 1 species
AUAUAUCACAUGUAUGGUGAAUUGGAAUCGAUACAGAGAAGAUUAGCAUGGCCCCUGGGAAACCUUGACAAGCAAAUUUGUGAAGCGUUUCCACAUUUU